rnacentral:rRNA from 1 species
UCUGGUUGAUCCCGCCGGAGGUUACUGCUAUCGAGGUUCGACUAAGCCAUGCGAGUCGAAUGUAGCAAUACAUGGCGUACUGCUCAGUAACACGUGGACAACCUACCCUUAGGUCGGGGAUAAACCCGGGAAACUGGGUAUAAUACCCGAUAGUCCUCGGAUGCUGGAAUGCACCGAGGUCUAAAGCUCCGGCGCCUAAGGAUGGGUCUGCGGCCUAUCAGGUAGUAGUGGGUGUAGCGUACCUACUAGCCUACGACGGGUACGGGUUGUGAGAGCAAGAGCCCGGAGAUGGAUUCUGAGACACGAAUCCAGGCCCUACGGGGUGCAGCAGGCGCGAAAACUUUACAAUGCUGGAAACAGCGAUAAGGGGACCUCGAGUGCCAGGUUACAAAUCUGGCUGUCGUGAUGCCUAAAAAGCAUUGCAUAGCAAGGGCCGGGCAAGACCGGUGCCAGCCGCCGCGGUAACACCGGCGGCUCGAGUGGUAACCGUUAUUAUUGGGUCUAAAGGGUCUGUAGCCGGCCGGAUAAGUCUCUUGGGAAAUCUGGCAGCUUAGCUGUCAGGCUUUCAGGAGAUACUGUCUGGCUCGAGGCCGGGAGAGGUGAGAGGUACUUCAGGGGUAGGGGUGAAAUCUUGUAAUCCUUGAAGGACCACCAGUGGCGAAGGCGUCUCACCAGAACGGACCUGACGGCAAGGGAC